GCCACGAUGGCGCAGUAGGCAGCGCGUGAGUCUCAUAAUCUCAAGGUCGUGAGUUCGAUCCUCACUCGGGGCA
rfam:Ciona savignyi cont_18618, whole genome shotgun sequence.